rfam:Flavobacterium sp. ov086 genome assembly, contig: Ga0070134_112
GAUUCUGUAUUUCAAUUGGUAGAAGGGAGGUUAAUUUACCUGGAAUGAAGGUUCGAGUCCUUCCGGAAUCA